UACAGAGGUCUCAAGCGUUGUUCGGAUUCAUUGGGCGUAAAGGGUGCGUAGGUGGCGCCGUAAGUCAGGUGUGAAAUCUCGGGGCUCAACCCCGAAACUGCACUUGAUACUGCGGGGCUCGAGUACUGGAGAGGAGAUUGGAAUUUACGGUGUAGCAGUGAAAUGCGUAGAUAUCGUAAGGAAGACCAGUGGCGAAGGCGGGUCUCUGGACAGUUCCUGACGCUGAGGCACGAAGGCCAGGGGAGCAAACGGG
rnacentral:rRNA from 1 species